ACAUUGCCGACCUCCACCGCCGA
rnacentral:siRNA from 1 species